ACGCUCGACACCUACGGGAGGCAGCAGUAGGGAAUCUUCCACAAUGGACGCAAGUCUGAUGGAGCAACGCCGCGUGAGUGAAGAAGGUUUUCGGAUCGUAAAGCUCUGUUGUUGGUGAAGAAGGAUAGAGGUAGUAACUGGCCUUUAUUUGACGGUAAUCAACCAGAAAGUCACGGCUAACUACGUGCAAGCAGCCGCGGUAAUCUGAGCGGGCUGGCAAGGC
rnacentral:rRNA from 1 species